rnacentral:tRNA from 1 species
GCCCUGGUCGCAUAAUGGUAUUGCAGUGGAUUGCUAAUCCACGCCCUUUGGGCUCGCAGGUUCGAUUCCUGCCCAGGGCG